UGACGAAAGCGUGCUUGGGCCCGGAGCGUUAAGUGCGAUGUGAGCGCAGACCAGUGGGAGAGUAGGAUGGGGGCGAUGGUUCUCCGGCACGGAGCAACGGAAGCGGGCCAAAUCACUGUGACGUCCUGUGAAGCAGAGAAGCAAGGCGAAGUCUCCUCUAUCGUUUACAAGCCGCCAGCGAGUACUAACACACCAUAAUUACGUCCUUCCAGGGACGGGAUCAGCAAGCAGAACAAAGUCCCUGGGGCCAGUGGAGGACAUGCUUCAGAGUACAGGUGGCUGCUUGGGCCUCCAGGACGAGAGGUAUGAUUCAAGUCGACUGCAGAACACCAGGACCAUCAGAAACAUGAACCAGGACAUGGGAGCCAGGAACUGGAGCUGAAAUGUUUAAACAUGCCAACCAGAAGGAACCCAAUACAUCCAUGGCAUACCAGGCCAAGACAGUUACCACCGCCAGAAUGCACCUUUAAGACAACAAAUUGGGUCAGAAUAAAAUACUGGAAGCAGUUCCAGGACUCCAAUGCUGAAAAAAACCAACCAUUUUGUCUGUGGGACUCCAAAAUGGACUGGAAAGAUUUUAAGUUUAAAUACAUUUCAAAUCAGUUCAGAGCCCAGCAGUACCUAACCAUAACCAUAACCAUAACCAUAACCACAACCAUAACCAUAACCACACGUGCAGGAUGUCAGUUUAGCCAAUCAGACUAAAAUUUAAAAAUGCCUUUGUGAAGCUUCCCAUCGACGUCUCAGUUGUGUGCUGGUUUGUUGUAGAUACUGUUAUCCUUCCACAACUAUCGUGGUGCAGUGCAGAAGAGUCUGGCUGGUGGCUUUUUAAUAUUUUUGUCCCCCAUUUCAUCCCUGACUUUCAAAUGUAUCACCCAGAGUGGCCUCAUCGCACGCAGUCAGUGUGCAGAAGGGUCAUGGUAUCACCACAGACUUCAACCAGUUGCUGAGAUCUUUGCAAGUCUGCCUGCUCAUAGUUCCUACUCAUUAUUCAUUAGAUAUCGGCAGACAUCAAAGCACCGAAACGAUGCCCCAGAAAACAACGUCCAUCAGAGGAAAAUGGCUAAUCAUAGUUCUCCUAAAAGGUCCUUUUAGGGCAAUGACCUUUGACCAUUUUAGAAACAGUUGUUUUGAAGGUUUGCGUGUGCAUAUUGUUAUAUACAUGUUAGUUUCCUGGUUUUCUAUUUAAGAAAAUGUUAAAUAUUUGAUACAUUGCUCAUGUCAAGGCAUGGCUCGCAGGCACACAUUUUAGUCAAAAAUUAUAUCUAUUCAUAAAAUCAUAAAAUCAAAAUUAUGUAUUCACAUUUUUUUAGUAUUAUGGCUCUAAAAAUGAUUCCAUGUGUAAGUUCAUCUAAUAUAACUUAAACUGGCCUGAAUCAUCACUGGCUUCAUUCACUUUGCUUUGAGUUUCAGGACUUGCGUAAAACUAACUGAGCUUCCGAGCACGAGGCAUGCAAAGGGCAAAACAGUUCCCCAGAUUUUACACUGAAAAGGAAAAUGAACUGUGUACAACUCACUUUAUUAGACUUGUCUAUAAAUACAAAGGCUUUUUAUGCCUGCAAACAUCUAAUACCCAAUUUAAUUAUUAGGAAAGUUGCCUACAAGAGAAAAACAAGCCCUUGGGCUGUUUAACUUUAAAAGCUUAUGCUUCAGAAAGUAUAUAAAACAAAUAAUCUGACUAGACCCAUAACCCAGAGAGACCUUGCUGACUGCCUGAUAAUUGUCUGCUUUCAUGGUGCCAUACAACCAGAAAAUUACACUUCUGUUUUCACGCCUGUUGGGCACUAUCGCUGGGGCUAUUGCAAACAAGGGAUUCUUCACACAGAGA